rnacentral:rRNA from 1 species
AUUGAACGCUGGCGGCAGGCCUAACACAUGCAAGUCGAACGAGUGGCGGACGGGUGAGUAAUGUCUGGGAAACUGCCUGAUGGAGGGGGAUAACUACUGGAAACGGUAGCUAAUACCGCAUCCCCGCAGAUGUGCCCAGAUGGGAUUCGCUUGUUGGGGGGGUAACGGCUCACCAAGGCGACGCUCCCUAGAUGGUCUGAGAGGAUGCCCAUCCACACUGGAACUGAGACACGGUCCAGACGCCUACGGUAGGCAGCAGUGGGGAAUAUUGCACAAUGGGCGCAAGCCUGAUGCAGCCAUGCCGCGUGUAUGAAUAAGGCCUUCGGGUUGUAAAGUACUUUCAGCGGGGAGGCGUUACCCGCAGAAGAAGCACCGGCUAACUCCGUGCCAGCCGCCGCGGUAAUAC